GGGUCCUCUCUAGGAUCGCGGGAGGACUUUGCAUCCCUGUGUAGGGCUCUAAUCUCGGGUUUGGGGAUCUUGCUCCUCAGCUUGUCCGCUCCGAGGAGGUGCACAGGGCGGGGAAAAAGGGAUGAAUUUCCCUUUAUACCGCCCUGCUCAGAUAUUUAUAUGUUCCUUCUAUUUUUCUUGAUGACAAUAAUUGUAAUAGUUACAAUAAAAAUAGUGAUUGUCUGUGGCAGAGGAGCUGAAUGAAACGAGGGUGGAGACAGGAAGAUCAAGAAUAAAUGGUUUCACAAAUCGAAGGGAUUGUCUCUUGAGACGCUGAUUAUUUCAGUGGCACGAUUUAAUGUUUCCUAGAGGAAAUGUUCUUCCUGGAAAUGAGGAUCAUAACCCAGCUGGCUCCAGAUUUCGGAGCGAGGAGGCACAAAUUCUACAGUAUGCUUCAGGGCAACGCGAGUGGGGCUGUAAUGAAGAACAGUCUGUUUCUGGAAGAUGCCAACAUGCUGAACUGACCCAAUCCCCAAUCUGUGCAGAGGCCAAGGCUCUUCUGUCUCCAUCAGUUAGUUGUAGGGAACUUUUAUAAGGCCAUAGGAGUAAGUUUAUGGGAGAGGUGGCAGUAGAGCAGAGGUAACUGACCUGGGAGUUUGGAAACGUGGGUUUUGUUUUUUUGCCUUAGAAGGCAUGACCUUGCUCCAGAAUCUUAGGUAUUUGUGCUGUGACUCUUUAUGAUGGGUUGAAUUGUACCUCCACCUCAUCCCCAAUUAACAGGUUGAAGUUCUAGCCCCUAAUACCUCAGAAUGUGAAAUUAUUUGGCAAUAGAGGCAUUGCAGAUGUAAUUACUUCAAGAUGAGGUCAUAGUGGAUUAGGGUGGGUCCCUCAUCUAAUGACUGGUAUCCUUAUAAAAAAGGGAAGUUUAGAGAUAGUACACAGGGAGAAUGCCAAAUGAAGAUGAGGGUAAAGACUGGGAAAAUGCUUCUUACGAUGCCAAGGAAUGCAAAAUAUAUCCAGCAAAUCCCCAGAAACUAGGAGAGAGGCAUGGACAGAUUCCUUCUCACAGCCUCAAUAGGAACCACACCUUAAUUUCUGACUUCUAGCCUCCAGACUGUGAACCAACAGAUUUCUGUUGUUUAAGCCACCCAGUUUGUGGUACUUUGUUAUAGGAGCCCUAGCACACGAAUGCACACUCUUAUUGGGGUUUGCCAGCAACUCCAUACAGCACCUGUAUCCAUCAAGGAUAUUUCUGGAACCACUGAAUUUGCAAGUAAGCUUGCACUGUUGCUUGGAUUUACUAUAGAGUGCUCUCUUGCCCCAAUAAAAAGUGGAAGCUGGCCAGGCAUGGUGGCUCACGUCUGUAAUCCCAGCACUUUGGGAGGCGGAGGUGGGUGGAUUGCUUGAGGUCAGGAGUUCAAGAUCAGCCUGGCUAACAUGGUGAAACCCCUCCACUACUAAAAUACAAAAAUGCUGGGCAUGGUGGCGGGCGCCUGUAAUCCCAGCUACUAGGGAGGCUGAGGCAGGAGAAUUGCUUGAAUCCAGAAAGCAGAGGUUGCAGUGAGCCGAGAUCACGGCACUGUACUCCAGCCUGGGCUACAGAGCAAGACUCCGUGUCAAGAAAAAAAAAUAGUAAUAAAUAAAAAGUGGAAGCUUUUUAGGUCACCUAA